AUGUGAAACCAUGUUCACCUCGUCACCUGGAGUUUGUUCAGGGAAAAAUUUACAUGAACUCCACCCACCAAGGUUAAAAAGCCACGAGACUAGUAGGAUUUGUACAAACACUUCACAGGAAUGAUAAGAGAAUGACGUGUCAUUGUGUACAUUUGUACCACAUUGUAUAAGACGAAUAGUUCUACUGGCAUAGUUGUGUGUUCUUCAAUCUGUGAUUAAAUCACGUGCACCGUGUUGGAUAUUGGGAUGCUUUAUGGCCAUUGUGGCAUGACUUGGACUUGUGGCUCCUAGGAAGAAGUUGAAAUUUAACAGAAGACGAACAGAAAGACUAUGGACAAUCUUUGAUCAGAGAAUUAAGCUCGGGGAGGUGUCGUCACUGAAGUCUUCCUUACCCAAGCAUACUACACAUGGAUGUGGACGGUUUGGUUAAACUUAGCCC